rnacentral:rRNA from 1 species
UAUUGGGCGUAAAGCGCGCGCAGGCGGAUUGGUCAGUCUGUCUUAAAAGUUCGGGGCUUAACCCCGUGAUGGGAUGGAAACUGCCAAUCUAGAGUAUCGGAGAGGAAAGUGGAAUUCCUAGUGUAGCGGUGAAAUGCGUAGAUAUUAGGAAGAACACCAGUGGCGAAGGCGACUUUCUGGACGAAAACUGACGCUGAGGCGCGAAAGCCAGGGGAGCGAACGGGAUUAGAUACCCCGGUAGUCCUGGCCGUAAACGAUGGGUACUAGGUGUAGGAGGUAUCGACCCCUUCUGUGCCGGAGUUAACGCAAUAAGUACCCCGCCUGGGGAGUACGACCGCAAGGUUGAAACUCAAAGGAAUUGACGGGGGCCCGCACAAGCGGUGGAGUAUGUGGUUUAAUUCGACGCAACGCGAAGAACCUUACCAGGUCUUGACAUUGAUGGACAGAACUAGAGAUAGUUCCUCUUCUUCGGAAGCCAGAAAACAGGUGGUGCACGGUUGUCGUCAGCUCGUGUCGUG